rnacentral:tRNA from 1 species
GCGCCAUUAGCUCAGUUGGUUAGAGCCGAUUUUUAGGGUCGUAGGUUCAAGUCCUACAUGGCGAG